UCCGUCAGCUUCUGAGCUGUCAGCUCCUUGUACUGUGCUAGCUGGCAUGCCUUGAUCUUGUGCAAGUCAUUUUGCAUUCGGGAGUCAGUCUCCACGAUGUUCUUCUCCACUUGGUCGGCAUUUUUCUGCAGGCGCUCGAUGAGCUCGGUCAGCUCUUUGCUGGAGAUGCUCUUCUUCUGCGCCGAGGGGCUGUACUUCCCUUUGUUGCGCUUCCUGAAGAGCGAGUGCAUCGCGUCCCCGGCCGCCGCCCGCUCUCCUCCUGCUCUUCCCCCGC
rnacentral:lncRNA from 1 species